UGGGCAAAGGUCAACAGGCUCUGAGUGGGAAUCCUGCCGUGUUCCUGAAAGCAUGAGAUCAUUUUCUCCAUGAUUGUGCUGUACCAUGGACUGUUUGAGAGGAUUAUCCAUUGCUGAAGGGGGUGUGUGACUGUAGCUUUCUUCCUGCAGAUUUCCAAUCUUACAUCCUGUUCUUUGCCAUGCUGACAAGAUCAAACCUGGAAUGAGACUGUUAAAGACAUUGUUUCCAGCUGCCUCUCUCAUCACAAUCUCACAGCAAUGCUGGGAAAUACACAGUUAGGGAUAUCUAAACCAGGUGAAGCUAUUUGCAAAUUCAAAUUCCUUCCCUGGUAACAUGGUAACAUCCACAGUGCAGAAAAGAAUAAGGGCAGUGUUCUGGAAACAGCUGCUCAGCAUAGCCUCUGGAACGGGAACUCCAACCCCAAUGAGUGGCUGGAAUUCUCUGAAGAUGCCUCUAAGCACAAGAAGAAAUUAUGACCAUUUGGCUUUUAUUAUUUAAAAAUUUUCCUGAACAUUAUGAAGAAUGGAUAAAGUGAAUGCAGAACUGUUAUUUUUAAAAUAUAUCAAUAAUUAACCUAUUGUGAAUCAGGGACACUUUUUGGAACAAUAGGAGAUCAGUUUCAGCUAAACAUUAGGAAGGUCAUGCUAAAUAAAAACAUACAGUAGAAUAAAGCUUGUAAAUAGUU